rnacentral:hammerhead_ribozyme from 1 species
GAGUCCCAAAUAGGACGAAAUGCGCAUCGUGGAU